AAAGAUUGGUUCCCGAUGGAAAAACAAGGUAAAAUUUCUCUUGUAAUUGGUUCCUUGGAUAAGAAUCACACAUGGUAAUUGGUUCCUACACCAUCUAACUCUCUUGUAAUUGGCUCAAAAUGGGUGUUUGCUAUUAAGCAAAGUCUAAAUGGUUCUGUCCUCUGAUAUAAGGCCAGAUUUUACCGAGGUCUUUAGUCCUGUAAUUAAACCACCUACAAUUCAUCUUAUUCUAACCAUAGUCUUAUCAUCUAAAUGGCCAAUAGUACAAUAUGACUGCAUCUAAAUGUGUUUACUACUAUAUUUUAAUUUCAAAUUAAAGUGCUAAUGACUUAAAACUAUUUUUUUAGUUUCCUAACUUGUCAAUUCUUUAUGAAAUUAUCAGUUGGUUACCUUUUCCUCCUGGUUCUCAGAAGAUUACAGAGAUCAUCAAGAAACGAUAUGAUAAACCGUACAAAAAGUUUGGAGAUGUCCCUCUUCCGACAAAGAAGCUUUGGUUUAAGGAAUGGAAGAGCCACUUUCUUAUUGAUGAUGAUGAUGAUGAGUUUUUCUGGAGGGCUUUCAAGUAUAGGACAAGUAAGCGAUUUAGCCAAAUGAUGUCAGAUAUCCGUGAGGGUGUGGAUACAACCCACGAAUGGCUAAUUCCUGCUUACAAAAAGGUGUUGGAAAGGUAUUGGGAAACAGAUGAGAAAUGGAAAAAUAUAAGGAAAAAAGCAAGAGAGAAUCGAGCGUCACUCUUAGGUGGUUCUGUUCAUUGCGGUGGUUCUAUUCCAUUGAGCUCAACUAUAGAGAGGAUGAAGAAGCAGUUGGGCCGUACACCAACCCACGAGGAGGUCUUCAAAGAAACCCACACACUUAAAAGUGACAAGUCUAAAUGGGUGGACAAGCGCUCUCAAGACACUCAUGUGA